GAACAAAAGCUGGAAAUCCUUAUCUCUCCUCCCAUUUCACUCAUUCUCCACCAAAAAGCAAGACCCAUUUCUCUCUCACUUCUUUCUCUAAAAUUUGAAGAUUCAAGGGCUGAUCCCAAGUUCUUCAUCUACUCCUACAUCAUAUUCGUGUUAGAUCUUCGAAUCUUCAAGGCGUCUUCUAAGUGUUCUUGAGUUUAACACUUCCCUUCUUCAACAUCCAUCCACUGAAAUCAGACAAGGAAAUCAAUGAAACCAAGAAAUCACAAGCUUUUGAGGAUGGUACGCUACGACGUUGAACAACUAUUUUCAUAUCAUGUUGUAAUCAAUCAUUGAAAUAUGUCACACUUGAAACUAUAUAAUUCUUUUCCAAUUAUAUUUAUGCAAUUAUGAUUGGUUGUAUUGCUUUGAUCACUAUUAUACUCGUUGUUAUGAUACUAUACAUGAAGUCUGCCACCCCCGUAUGUUUCCGCCAUCCUUGGUUUGGGGGUGUAACAGUCUGAUACCGUGGCGGUUGCUGAGGAAUGUUUGCGUGUUUCCGGAAUUUCGGUCCGAUGUCGGGCGGGGCCCGAAGAAUGUGUAUGUGUUAUAGUUAAGUUAUUAUGCUUAUGUUAUGUGUACUAGUAUUUAUGCUCAUAUGUAUGCUGAGCUUUGCUCGAUGCCGGGCGGGGACCGAUGCCAGAUGCGGUCUGAUGCCGAGCGGGGCUCGAUGUCGGGUGGGGCCCGAUGCCAGAAAAGUUGAUGUCGGGCAGCACCCGAGGUAGCGGGGCGGGGCCCAAUGUAUGUUAUAUGCGAUUAUCUGAUUAUGUGUAUGAUAUGUGGUAGUUUAGGGAGACUCACUAAGCUUCGUGCUUACAAUUGUUAGUUUUGGUUUCAGGUACUUCUGCUAGUAAGGGGAAGAGCUUAGGAUGACUGCAUGGCACACUGACUCCACAACAUUUUAGCCUGGGAGAUUUACUCUGAUAUUUUGGAUUUGUGAUAUAGUGUUUUGACAAGAUAUUUUGAGAUAUUACACUUAUGUUUUAUGAGAUGAUUGGAUUGCUAUGGUUUUGUUAUAAAUAAAAAUGAAAUUUUUGGACUGUA